ACGCGGCAAUUGGAGGUCCCACCGAGAUCCGGAAAGCAGGGGAGCUGAUAAGCCCAUCUGGAUCCCAGAGCGCUGUGUUAAACCCGUGCAACAAAGGGAAGAAGUGGUUGACUUUCAAAAUGAUUCUCCCGGGAUGGCUCCUGGUUUUGCUGUUCCUUCUAACAAUGAUUUAAUGAUUCCAGAAAUGCUUCUCGCAUCAUCGGAGAAUACCUGUCCGGAACCUGGUCCUUGGAAGCAGAAAACUUGAUCCAGUCUCAACUGACUCAGAUUGCUGUUUUGAAUAGUACCCGUG